GGCCCACCAAGGCGACGAUCAGUAGCCGGCCUGAGAGGGUGACCGGCCACAUUGGGACUGAGACACGGCCCAAACUCCUACGGGAAGCAGCAGUGGGGAAUAUUGCACAAUGGGGGGAACCCUGAUGCAGCGACGCCGCGUGAGUGAAGAAGUAUUUCGGUAUGUAAAGCUCUAUCAGCAGGGAAGAAAAUGACGGUACCUGACUAAGAAGCCCCGGCUAACUACGUGCCAGCAGCCGCGGUAAUACGUAGGGGGCAAGCGUUAUCCGGAUUUACUGGGUGUAAAGGGAGCGUAGACGGUUAUGCAAGUCUGAAGUGAAAGCCCAAGGCUCAACCAUGGGACUGCUUUGGAAACUGUAAAACUGGAGUGCAGGAGAGGUAAGCGGAAUUCCUAGUGUAGCGGUGAAAUGCGUAGAUAUUAGGAGGAACACCAGUGGCGAAGGCGGCUUACUGGACUGUAACUGACGUUGAGGCUCGAAGGCGUGGGGAGCAAACAGGAUUAGAUACCCUGGUAGUCCACGCGGUAAACGAUGAUCACUAGGUGUCGGUGGGUAGAGACCCAUCG
rnacentral:rRNA from 1 species